rnacentral:lncRNA from 1 species
AAUUCUUCAGCGGCCCCUGCACCUCAUGGAUACUUUUCAGGUGAUGGAGGAGUAGAACUACACUGAAAAUUUGCAUUUGAAUAAGGAACAAGGAAAAAAAAAACUUGGAAAUCAAGUAACCUAAAGCAAAUUCACAAAAAUAGAAAUAACUGGCUCAAGAAUAACAAGUAUAAAUGUAGGGUGCUCAUAAUGAGACUUCAUAACGUGAUAGAAGGGUGCCUUUUCUUCUGAUUUCUACAUGGAGCAGGAGGACCUCAGGGAGGUCUGAACGGCGGCAUGAGAGCUCGUGCAGAUGACCAGAGGACCCACGUCCUCCAGGCUGCUGACUUAACAUGGGAAGCUGUUUGGGCAGCUCAUUUCUGUUUUCCAAACUUUGCAAUUUGAGAAAAAAAAAAUCCAACUGUUAAAUCA